rfam:Shewanella pealeana ATCC 700345, complete genome.
GUCCCCAUCGUCUAGAGGCCUAGGACACCGCCCUUUCACGGCGGUAACAGGGGUUCGAAUCCCCUUGGGGAUA